UACGGAGGAUGCAAGCGUUAUCCGGAAUGAUUGGGCGUAAAGCGUCCGCAGGUGGCUAUGUAAGUCUGCUGUUAAAGAGUGAGGCUCAACCUCAUAAGAGCAGUGGAAACUACAUAGCUAGAGUGCGUUCGGGGCAGAGGGAAUUCCUGGUGUAGCGGUGAAAUGCGUAGAGAUCAGGAAGAACACCGGUGGCGAAAGCGCUCUGCUAGGCCGCAACUGACACUGAGGGACGAAAGCUAGGGGAGCGAAUGGG
rnacentral:rRNA from 1 species